rnacentral:rRNA from 1 species
CAAGUCGUGGGGCAGCAUGACUGUAGCAAUACAGUUGAUGGCGACCGGCAAACGGGUGCGGAACACGUACACAACCUUCCUUUUAGUGGAGAAUAGCCCAGGGAAACUUGGAUUAAUACUCCGUAACAUAUAGAAGUGGCAUCACUUUUGUAUUAUAGCAGCAAUGCGCUAGAAGAUGGGUGUGCGGCUGAUUAGAUAGUUGGCGGGGUAACGGCCCACCAAGUCGACGAUCAGUAACUGGUGUGAGAGCACGACCAGUCACACGGGCACUGAGACACGGGCCCGACUCCUACGGGAGGCAGCAGUAAGGAAUAUUGGUCAAUGGACGCAAGUCUGAACCAGCCAUGCCGCGUGGAGGAUGAAGGUCCUCUGGAUUGUAAACUUCUUUUAUCUGGGAAGAAAUCCACUUUUUCUAAGGUGGUUGACGGUACCAGAUGAAUAAGCACCGGCUAACUCCGUGCCAGCAGCCGCGGUAAUACGGAGGGUGCAAGCGUUAUCCGGAUUCACUGGGUUUAAAGGGUGCGUAGGUGGGCAAGUAAGUCAGUGGUGAAAUCUCCGGGCUUAACCCGGAAACUGCCAUUGAUACUAUUUGUCUUGAAUACUGUGGAGGUCAGCGGAAUAUGUCAUGUAGCGGUGAAAUGCUUAGAUAUGACAUAGAACGCCAAUUGCGAAGGCAGCUGGCUACACAAAUAUUGACACUGAGGCACGAAAGCGUGGGGAUCAAACAGGAUUAGAUACCCUGGUAGUCCACGCCCUAAACUAUGGAUACUCGACAUACGCGAUAAACUGUGUGUGUCUGAGCGAAAGCAUUAAGUAUCCCACCUGGGAAGUACGAUCGCAAGAUUGAAC